GCCUCGGUGAUGUAGUAGUAGUAGCACGCGUCCCCGGUAUGGAUGAAACGAGGGUUCGAGUCCUGUCUGAGGUC